GUUGAACGCUGGCGGCAGGCCUAACACAUGCAAGUCGAGCGGAUGAAGGGAGCUUGCUCCUGGAUUCAGCGGCGGACGGGAGAGUAAUGCCUAGGAAUCUGCCUGGUAGUGGGGGAUAACGUGCUAAAACGGGCGCUAAUACCGCAUACGUCCUGAGGGAGAAUGUGAGGGAUCUUCGCACCUCGCGCGAUCUGAUGAGCCUAGGUCGGAUUAGCUAGUUGGUGGGGUAAAGGCCUACCAAGGCGACGAUCCGUAACUGGUCUGAGAGGAUGAUCAGUCACACUGGGAGUGAGACCCGGUACAGAGUCAUACGGGAGGCAGCAGUGGGGAAUAUUGGACAAUGGGCGAAAGCCUGAUGCAGACAUGCCGAGUGUGUGAAGAAGGUCUUCGGAUUGUAAAGCACUUUAAGUUGGGAGGAAGGGCAGUAAGUUAAUACCUUGCUGUUUUGACGUUACCAACAGAAUAAGCACCGGCUAACUUCGUG
rnacentral:rRNA from 1 species